GACGAACGCUGGCGGCGUGCCUAAUACAUGCAAGUCGAGCGGGGAUUAUGCUUGAUCGCUUCGGUGAGACGGCAUAUAUCCUAGCGGCGGACGGGUGAGUAACGCGUGGGUAAUCUACCUCGUAGUUCGGGAUAACAGGCCGAAAGGCUUGCUAAUACCGGAUGAGUUCAUGCUUAUGCAUAUAGGCAUGAAGAAAGGGCUAGCCCGCUAUGAGAUGAGCCCGCGUCCCAUUAGCUUGUUGGUGGGGUAAUGGCCUACCAAGGCAACGAUGGGUAGCCGGCCUGAGAGGGUGUACGGCCACACUGGGACUGAGACACGGCCCAGACUCCUACGGGGGGCAGCAGUAGGGAAUUUUCGGCAAUGGGCGAAAGCCUGACCGAGCGACGCCGCGUGAGGGACGAAGGCCUUCGGGUUGGUAAACCUCUGUCUGGGGGAUGAGAACGGACGGUACCCCGGAGGAAGCCCCGGCUAACUACGUGCCAGCAGCCGCGGUAAGAGUAACUCUAU
rnacentral:rRNA from 1 species